UACAGAGGUCCCAAGCGUUGUUCGGAUUCACUGGGCGUAAAGGGUGCGUAGGUGGUGAGGUAAGUCGGAUGUGAAAUCUCCGGGCUCAACCCGGAAAUGGCAUUGGAAACUACCUUGCUGGAGGGUUUGAGGGGGAUUGGAAUACUUGGUGUAGCAGUGAAAUGCGUAGAUAUCAAGUGGAACACCAGUGGCGAAGGCGAAUCCCUGGAAAAUACCUGACACUGAGGCACGAAAGCUAGGGGAGCAAACAGG
rnacentral:rRNA from 1 species